GAGGAAAGCCUUUGGGUUGUAAACCCCUUUUCUCAGGGAAGAAGAAAGUGACGGUACCUGAGGAAUCAGCCUCGGCUAACUCCGUGCCAGCAGCCGCGGUAAUACGGAGGAGGCAAGCGUUAUCCGGAAUGAUUGGGCGUAAAGCGUUCGUAGGUGGCAAUUCAAGUCUGCUGUCAAAGACAGUAGCUCAACUACUGCAAGGCAGUGGAAACUGAAUAGCUAGAGUGCGGUAGGGGCAGAGGGAAUUCCCGGUGUAGCGGUGAAAUGCGUAGAGAUCGGGAAGAACACCGGUGGCGAAAGCGCUCUGCUGGGCCGCAACUGACACUGAGGGACGAAAGCUAGGGGAGCGAAUGGGAUUAGAUACCCCAGUAGUC
rnacentral:rRNA from 1 species